UCUAAACAAGGAUUGCCGAGAUCGGAUGGGGUUGUUUUUCUGAAGAGUUGCAGUAAAGCACUAUUGCUUUGAAAGGUAUCAAAGUUAGGGUUUUUGUCAAGAGUUGCAGUGAAAGAGUAUUGCUUUGAAAGGUAUCAAAGUUAGGGUUUUUCUCAAGAGUUGCAGUGAAAGAGUAUUGCUUUGAAAGAAUAUUCCGAAAAGAGAUUGAUGGAUCUCAAAAACCUGUCCUCCAGUUCUUCGGGCUACAGUUCAGUCUACCGCGGCGUUACUAAGCAUAGAUUGACAGGGAGAUAUGAAGCCCAUCUCGGGGUCGAAACCAAAGAGAAUACGAACCGCAAGAGUAAACAAGUCUAUCUCGGU